rnacentral:misc_RNA from 1 species
GAUGAAGAACGCAGCGAAAUGCGAUAAGUAAUGUGAAUUGCAGAAUUCAGUGAAUCAUCGAAUCUUUGAACGCACAUUGCGCCCGCCAGUAUUCUGGCGGGCAUGCCUGUUCGAGCGUCAUUACAACCCUCAGGCCCCCGGGCCUGGCGUUGGGGAUCGGCGGAGCCCCCCGUGGGCACACGCCGUCCCCCAAAUACAGUGGCGGUCCCGCCGCAGCUUCCAUCGCGUAGUAGCUAACACCUCGCGACUGGCGAGCGGCGCGGCCACGCCGUAAAACACCCAACUCUUCUGAAGUUGACCUCGAAUCAGGUAGGAAUACCCGCUGAACUUAAGCAUAUCAAUAAGCGGAGGA